GGGCCCUAGAGACACAACUCCACGCACGCUUUUGGAAGUGGAUCAAAUUCAGAAGCUCAUCCCUCGCGUCAUCAUCAGGAACGAAGAGAGUGUAAAUUCAUCCACCCGGAUGUCCAGACCCUGCUGAAACAUUAUCUCCUGAGACACUGAGGGGGUCAUCAAGGUGACGGCGAUAGCAGAACAUAGGAGGAGAGUGGCCUUGGAAGGAUUGCCCAUUUACCUCAAGGAGGAUGCAUCAAAUCUUUUCAAGACAUGUCUGGACACAGAUGAAGAGGAGGAUUACACCAAAGGUGUAAAAAUUGCCAUACUGACAGUCUUUGAGGAUGAUGUAGCAUCCGUUACGUCCCUACCUACGGUCAUCAACAUUGGCGUGAUUUUGGAAGAGAGUGUCAUCGUUCAGGGCAUAAAGGACCUUCCUUCAGCAGUCGCAUACUUGUUUGGCCUGCUGUAUUGCAUCAACAUGGAAUACCCCAAAAACCUGAGAUACACUUUUGAGGUUUUACAGAAAGUUUUCCUUGACAUGGGAGCACACUGCUGCUCUGCACGAGCUCAAUCACUCCGAGGUAAAAUGCAGAAAUGUCUGCGCUAAUGUGGCAAGUCCAUUUCUCUCUCUCUCUCUCGGAGCUGCAAGUCAGGUGAGGGCAAGAGGCGGAAAAGUUUGUUGAACAGUUAAUUGAUUGUUUUAUACGGAUUUUUACUUGUUAAUUGUUUAAGGGCUUAAGGUUUAUUUACUAAAUACUACAGGUCACACC